CAAUGGGAACUCGGCUUUGUAGAUGAGCUUGAUUUCUCCAUUUGAGAUGCAAGACAUCUUACUGCCUUCCGGCACAAAUGGUGUUAAAGACCUACACAUUUCUGCUUCUCAUAGUAGUAGCUUGGCUCUCUUUGCUUCUCUAGGAUAGAAAUUAUUAGUGCUCAGGUAUGGUUGCAUUAAGUACUAAUUCAUCUUGUCUGAUGUAGUAAAAAUUUGGUCAUUGAUGUAUUUCCUUUUGUUACCGCUUGGACAGCGGCAACCUUGUUGUCAAUUAUGACCUAUAGGUGAAGUUUGAUUCAAUAUUUUGAUUUGGUAAUUUAGUAGUAAUAAAGCUGUGGGAAAUAGUUUGUAAUUGCUAUGUUUUGUGGUUUUUAAGAUUGGCAUUGCUUGUAUAUUUAACUUUUUAUCCUCCUUGAGUUGAGUAAUAUAAAUUCAUAAGGACUAGCCAAAAAGACAGCAAGUCUGUAAAGGUUUUCAGUCUCUUUGCAUGUUUUUCCAAAGACGGCCUUUUAAAGUAACCAUUAACUAAACACCAUGAAGAAGAUAAAAAAACCACUGAUUUCCAUAAAGGAUGUAGUGUUGCAAGUAGAUAUCUAGAAAGUCUAGCUUUUUUCUCCAACCUUAGGCAUGAACUAACUGCAAAUAGCAUACGGCAGGAGGGCAAGGCCAUCAAUCGCCAUUAGUUCCCCUGAUUCCAAAACCUCAAAUGACAUAAGAGAAAAUCCUCCAAACUACAUGUAGAAAAUUAGAUAUAAAUUAUUAAAAUAGUUUUUUUUUUCAUGCCCCCUUUCCCCUUGUUCUACUAAUUUAUUGCUCAAAGAUUGUGAUCUGUCACAAGCUGAGUUUACUAGUCCCUCUUUGGGGGGUUUCACCUUUACUAGAAUUGUAUUCCAGGUUCCUGCAUGGUCUUGUUCAUGGGAUCUCAACAAUUCACAUUACAUAUAUGCUGGACUACAGAAUGGUUCUGUCUUGGUGUUUGAUAUGCGGAAAACUGCAGGACCCAUGAAAUCUCUAGUUGGUUUCACUAGCAACCCUGUGCAUACUGUACAUGCUCUUGCACAAACUUCAAGUUUGUCUUCUGGUGUUAAAACCAUCCUAUCUGCAUCUGUCGUUGGCCUUUGUCAGUGGAACAUUGAUUCUGAAGAGCGGUAGGCUGCUAAUAUUUUAUGGAUAUUUUCUUUACAUAUGUUCAUUAUCAUUGCCUUGUACUUAAAAACCACCCCUUCUAGCCCCUGUACAAAGCAUUUUUGGGUCCCUCUGGUCCUUGUUACACAAACUUUAAAUUUCUUUGAAUGUAUGUGAUCCUAAAGUCUUAUCAUUAUUUUAAAUUUCUUCUGAUCAGUUUCUUAGGACUGUAGUAACAUGCAUUUUUCAUCACCAGAGGUUUUAGUCUUUUCUCCUCUUGGUCUAUAAUAAUACAAUUCUGAUUCGUAUGCUUGAAUUAAAGUGGGGUUGCAGAUCU